AAUCAACGCUGGCGGCGUGCCUCAGACAUGCAAGUCGAACGAUUAAAGCUCUCUUCGGAGAGUGUAUAGAGUGGCGCACGGGUGAGUAACAUGUAAGUAAUCUACCCUCGAGUGGGGAUAACGUCCGGAACGGACGCUAAUACCGCAUAAUGCAGCGGCACCGCAAGGUGACAGUUGUUAAAGAUUUAUCGCUUGAGGAGGAGCUUGCGGCAGAUUAGCUAGUUGGUAAGGUAAUGGCUUACCAAGGCUACGAUCUGUAACCGGUCUUAGAGGACGGUCGGUCACACUGACACUGAAUAACGGGUCAGACUCCUACGGGAGGCAGCAGUCGGGAAUUUUGGGCAAUGGGCGAAAGCCUGACCCAGCAACGCCGCGUGAAGGAUGAAGUAUUUCGGUAU
rnacentral:rRNA from 1 species